rnacentral:rRNA from 1 species
UUGACGUUAGCGGCGGACGGGUGAGUAACACGUGGGUAACCUACCUAUAAGACUGGAAUAACUCCGGGAAACCGGGGCUAAUGCCGGAUAACAUGUUGAACCGCAUGGUUCUACAGUGAAAGACGGUCUUGCUGUCACUUAUAGAUGGACCCGCGCCGUAUUAGCUAGUUGGUGGGGUAACGGCCUACCAAGGCGACGAUACGUAGCCGACCUGAGAGGGUGAUCGGCCACACUGGAACUGAGACACGGUCCAGACUCCUACGGGAGGCAGCAGUAGGGAAUCUUCCGCAAUGGGCGAAAGCCUGACGGAGCAACGCCGCGUGAGUGAUGAAGGUCUUCGGAUCGUAAAGCUCUGUUGUUAGGGAAGAACAAAUGUGUAAGUAACUGUGCACAUCUUGACGGUACCUAACCAGAAAGCCACGGCUAACUACGUGCCAGCAGCCGCGGUAAUACGUAGGUGGCAAGCGUUAUCCGGAAUUAUUGGGCGUAAAGCGCGCGUAGGCGGUUUUUUAAGUCUGAUGUGAAAGCCCACGGCUCAACCGUGGAGGGUCAUUGGAAACUGGAAAACUUGAGUGCAGAAGAGGAAAGUGGAAUUCCAUGUGUAGCGGUGAAAUGCGCAGAGAUAUGGAGGAACACCAGUGGCGAAGGCGGCUUUCUGGUCUGCAACUGACGCUGAUGUGCGAAAGCGUGGGGAUCAAACAGGAUUAGAUACCCUGGUAGUCCACGCCGUAAACGAUGAGUGCUAAGUGUUAGGGGGUUUCCGCCCCUUAGUGCUGCAGCUAACGCAUUAAGCACUCCGCCUGGGGAGUACGGUCGCAAGACUGAAACUCAAAGGAAUUGACGGGGACCCGCACAAGCGGUGGAGCAUGUGGUUUAAUUCGAAGCAACGCGAAGAACCUUACCAAAUCUUGACAUCCUUUGACCGCUCUAGAGAUAGAGUUUUCCUCUUCGGAGGACAAAGUGACAGGUGGUGCAUGGUUGUCGUCAGCUCGUGUCGUGAGAUGUUGGGUUAAGUCC